UCCGGUUUAACACCGGCAGUCUCGUUAGAGUGCCCGGCCGAACCGCUGGCAACUAACGACAAGGGUUGCGCUCGUUGCGGGACUUAACCCAACAUCUCACGACACGAGCUGACGACAGCCAUGCAGCACCUGGACACUCAGUUCCCUUGCGGGCACAUCCACAUCUCUGCGGACUUCUGAGGGGUUCCAACCCAGGUAAGGUUCUUCGCGUUGCGUCGAAUUGAACCACAUGCUCCACCGCUUGUGCGGGCCCCCGUCAAUUCCUAUGAGUUUUAGCCUUGCGGCCGUACUCCCCAGGCGGAGUGCUUAACGCGUUAGCUUCGACACUGCCGGCGUCAAUACCAGCAACGUCUAGCACUCAUCGUUUACGGCGUGGACUAC
rnacentral:misc_RNA from 1 species